UGCAGCUUCUGCUGGUGGGAAGGCCGAUGGCAGAGCCCAGGGAAGUUAUGUAACGGGCCCAGCUAAUGAGUGGCAGAGGCCAGAGGGCUUGGCCUGCAGAACUGUCUAAGGCCAGAGGCCGUCCAUACACUCCGUCUCCUGAAGGGGAAGCGGGCUCUUCUCAGAUGCACAGGGACAAUGUGAAAAUCCUGUCCUCAGAUUGAGAGGCUGUUUCGUGGGCACCGAAUUCGGGGUCAGGAAAGCAGCCUGCAUCCACGAGUAUCCUCGGGUUACUAAGUGGGGCCAGUGGCUCCAGGUGUAACCCAUUUAAGUUUGCCAGACAGCCGGGAUGUUCUGGUGAAGGAUCUGAAGUGUAUGGCCACACCAGUCCCAGAAGAGCCUGGGAGAAGGGAAGAUGGUGAACACAGUGGAGUUCUGCUGCAAAGCCGAAGAUGGUUCUGGCACGUGGCAUGACCCACAUGACUCAACAUCAGGAGAUCUGACUUCAUAAAAGUGAACUAUCACAAUGCUGCUUUGCAAGCUGUGUGUGAGUGUAAAAGCGUUGAAACUUCCUCAAUAAAUGAAAAGAUAUCUUU
rnacentral:lncRNA from 1 species